rnacentral:rRNA from 1 species
GGAUAACUCCGGGAAACCGGGGCUAAUACCGGAUGCUUGAUUGAACCGCAUGGUUCAAUCAUAAAAGGUGGCUUUUAGCUACCACUUACAGAUGGACCCGCGGCGCAUUAGCUAGUUGGUGAGGUAACGGCUCACCAAGGCGACGAUGCGUAGCCGACCUGAGAGGGUGAUCGGCCACACUGGGACUGAGACACGGCCCAGACUCCUACGGGAGGCAGCAGUAGGGAAUCUUCCGCAAUGGACGAAAGUCUGACGGAGCAACGCCGCGUGAGUGAUGAAGGUUUUCGGAUCGUAAAACUCUGUUGUUAGGGAAGAACAAGUACCGUUCGAAUAGGGCGGCACCUUGACGGUACCUAACCAGAAAGCCACGGCUAACUACGUGCCAGCAGCCGCGGUAAUACGUAGGUGGCAAGCGUUGUCCGGAAUUAUUGGGCGUAAAGCGCGCGCAGGCGGUUUCUUAAGUCUGAUGUGAAAGCCCCCGGCUCAACCGGGGAGGGUCAUUGGAAACUGGGGAACUUGAGUGCAGAAGAGGAGAGUGGAAUUCCACGUGUAGCGGUGAAAUGCGUAGAGAUGUGGAGGAACACCAGUGGCGAAGGCGACUCUCUGGUCUGUAACUGACGCUGAGGCGCGAAAGCGUGGGGAGCGAACAGGAUUAGAUACCCUGGUAGUCCACGCCGUAAACGAUGAGUGCUAAGUGUUAGAGGGUUUCCGCCCUUUAGUGCUGCAGCAAACGCAUUAAGCACUCCGCCUGGGGAGUACGGUCGCAAGACUGAAACUCAAAGGAAUUGACGGGGGCCCGCACAAGCGGUGGAGCAUGUGGUUUAAUUCGAAGCAACGCGAAGAACCUUACCAGGUCUUGACAUCCUCUGACAACCCUAGAGAUAGGGCUUCCCCUUCGGGGGCAGAGUGACAGGUGGUGCAUGGUUGUCGUCAGCUCGUGUCGUGAGAUGUUGGGUUAAGUCCCGCAACGAGCGCAACCCUUGAUCUUAGUUGCCAGCAUUCAGUUGGGCACUCUAAGGUGACUGCCGGUGACAAACCGGAGGAAGGUGGGGAUGACGUCAAAUCAUCAUGCCCCUUAUGACCUGGGCUACACACGUGCUACAAUGGGCAGAACAAAGGGCAGCGAAGCCGCGAGGCUAAGCCAAUCCCACAAAUCUGUUCU